rnacentral:rRNA from 1 species
AGUGAACGCUGGCGGCAGGCCUAACACAUGCAAGUCGAACGGCAGCACAGUAAGAGCUUGCUCUUACGGGUGGCGAGUGGCGGACGGGUGAGGAAUACAUCGGAAUCUACUUUUUCGUGGGGGAUAACGUAGGGAAACUUACGCUAAUACCGCAUACGACCUACGGGUGAAAGCAGGGGAUCUUCGGCCCUUGCGUGAUUGAAGGAGCCGAUGUCGGAUUAGCUAGUUGGCGGGGUAAAGGCCCACCAAGGCGACGAUCCGUAGCGGGUCUGAGAGGAUGACCGGCCAAACUGAAACUGGGAAACGGUCCAGCCUCUGAGGGGAGGCAGCGGUGGGGAUUAUUGGACAAUGGGCGAAAGCCUGAUCAAGCCAUACCGGGUGGGUGAAGAAGGCCUUCGGGUGGUAAAGCCCUUUUGUUGGGAGAGAAAAGAGGCAGUUUAAAACCCCGCUGUUCUGACGGUACCAAAAGAAUAAGCACCGGCUACCUUCGU